rnacentral:rRNA from 1 species
ACGAACGCUGGCGGCAUGCCUAAUACAUGCAAGUCGAACGAGAUCUUCGGAUCUAGUGGCGCACGGGUGCGUAACGCGUGGGAAUCUGCCCUUGGGUUCGGAAUAACUUCUGGAAACGGAAGCUAAUACCGGAUGAUGACGUAAGUCCAAAGAUUUAUCGCCCAAGGAUGAGCCCGCGUAGGAUUAGGUAGUUGGUGAGGUAAAGGCUCACCAAGCCGACGAUCCUUAGCUGGUCUGAGAGGAUGAUCAGCCACACUGGGACUGAGACACGGCCCAGACUCCUACGGGAGGCAGCAGUAGGGAAUAUUGGACAAUGGGCGAAAGCCUGAUCCAGCAAUGCCGCGUGAGUGAUGAAGGCCUUAGGGUUGUAAAGCUCUUUUACCCGGGAUGAUAAUGACAGUACCGGGAGAAUAAGCUCCGGCUAACUCCGUG